UCGUCAGUGAGGUUAAUCCUUACCUGUUCCUCCUUAUGGAGAAACAGAACAUGAUGAAUGGAGGAUGCUGAUUGUGUGAUUACGAAAAGCUCCUGCACGCUCCGAGACGACAACAACUCGGGGUGUGUCAUUCUGAU